rnacentral:rRNA from 1 species
GAUGAACGCUGGCGGUAUGCUUAACACAUGCAAGUCGAACGGGGUACUUCGGUACCUAGUGGCGGACGGGUGAGUAACGCGUGAGAAUCUGGCCUCAGGUUCGGGACAACCACGGGAAACGGUGGCUAAUACCGAAUGUGCCUUAGGGUGAAAGAUUAAUCGCCUGAGGAUGAGCUCGCGUCUGAUUAGCUAGUUGGUGGGGUAAGAGCCCACCAAGGCGACGAUCAGUAACUGGUCUGAGAGGAUGACCAGUCACACUGGGACUGAGACACGGCCC